rnacentral:rRNA from 1 species
CGGCGGGUGCUAACGUCCGUCGUGAAGAGGGAAACAACCCAGACCGCCAGCUAAGGUCCCAAAGUCAUGGUUAAGUGGGAAACGAUGUGGGAAGGCCCAGACAGCCAGGAUGUUGGCUUAGAAGCAGCCAUCAUUUAAAGAAAGCGUAAUAGCUCACUGGUCGAGUCGGCCUGCGCGGAAGAUGUAACGGGGCUAAACCAUGCACCGAAGCUGCGGCAGCGACACUAUGUGUUGUUGGGUAGGGGAGCGUUCUGUAAGCCUGUGAAGGUGGCCUGUGAGGGUUGCUGGAGGUAUCAGAAGUGCGAAUGCUGACAUAAGUAACGAUAAAGCGGGUGAAAAGCCCGCUCGCCGGAAGACCAAGGGUUCCUGUCCAACGUUAAUCGGGGCAGGGUGAGUCGACCCCUAAGGCGAGGCCGAAAGGCGUAGUCGAUGGGAAACAGGUUAAUAUUCCUGUACUUGGUGUUACUGCGAAGGGGGGACGGAGAAGGCUAUGUUGGCCGGGCGACGGUUGUCCCGGUUUAAGCGUGUAGGCUGGUUUUCCAGGCAAAUCCGGAAAACCAAGGCUGAGGCGUGAUGACGAGGCACUACGGUGCUGAAGCGACAAAUGCCCUGCUUCCAGGAAAAGCCUCUAAGCAUCAGGUAACAUCAAAUCGUACCCCAAACCGACACAGGUGGUCAGGUAGAGAAUACCAAGGCGCUUGAGAGAACUCGGGUGAAGGAACUAGGCAAAAUGGUGCCGUAACUUCGGGAGAAGGCACGCUGAUAUGUAGGUGAAGCGACUUGCUCGUGGAGCUGAAAUCAGUCGAAGAUACCAGCUGGCUGCAACUGUUUAUUAAAAACACAGCACUGUGCAAACACGAAAGUGGACGUAUACGGUGUGACGCCUGCCCGGUGCCGGAAG